AUUGAACGCUGGCGGCAGGCCUAACACAUGCAAGUCGAGCGGAUGAAGGGCGCUUGCUCCUGGAUUCAGCGGCGGACGGGUGAGUAAUGCCUAGGAAUCUGCCUGGUAGUGUGGGAUAACGUCCGGAAACGGGCGCUAAUAACGCAUACGUCCCGAGUGAGAAAGUGGGGGAUCUUGGGACCUUCCGCUAUCAGAUGUGGCUAGGUCGCAUUAGCUAGUUGGUGGGGUAAAGUCCUACCAAGGCGGUGAUCCGUAACGGGUCUGAGAGGAUGCUCAGUGACGGUGGAGGUGAGAGACGGUCUAGAGUCUGACGGGAGGCAGAAGUGGCGAAUAGGGGAAGAUGGGCGAAAGACUGAUCCAGGCAUGCAGCGUGUGUGAAGAAGGUCUUCGGGUUGUAAAGCACUUUACGUGGGGAGGACGGGCAGUAAGUAAAUAGCAUGCUGUUUUGACGUUACCAACAGAAUAAGCACCGGCUAACUUCGUG
rnacentral:rRNA from 1 species